rnacentral:rRNA from 1 species
AUUGAACGCUGGCGGCAUGCCUUACACAUGCAAGUCGAACGGUAACAGGUCUUCGGAUGCUGACGAGUGGCGAACGGGUGAGUAAUACAUCGGAACGUGCCUAGUAGUGGGGGAUAACUACUCGAAAGAGUGGCUAAUACCGCAUGAGAUCUACGGACGAAAGCAGGGGAUCGCAAGACCUUGUGCUACUAGAGCGGCCGAUGGCAGAUUAGGUAGUUGGUGGGAUAAAAGCUUACCAAGCCGACGAUCUGUAGCUGGUCUGAGAGGACGAUCAGCCACACUGGGACUGAGACACAGCCCAGACUCCUACGGGAGGCAGCAGUGGGGAAUUUUGGACAAUGGGCGCAAGCCUGAUCCAGCAAUGCCGCGUGCAGGAUGAAGGCCUUCGGGUUGUAAACUGCUUUUGUACGGAACGAAAAGCCCCGGGUUAAUACCCUGGGGUCAUGACGGUACCGUAAGAAUAAGCACCGGCUAACUACGUGCCAGCAGCCGCCGUAA